rnacentral:rRNA from 1 species
AUACGGAGGGGGCUAGCGUUGUUCGGAAUUACUGGGCGUAAAGGGCGCGUAGGCGGGUUAUCAAGUCAGAGGUGAAAGCCCUGGGCUCAACCUGGGAACUGCCUUUGAAACUGAUAGUCUUGAGGCCGGAAGAGGAUGGCGGAAUUCCCAGUGUAGAGGUGAAAUUCGUAGAUAUUGGGAAGAACACCAGUGGCGAAGGCGGCCAUCUGGUCCGGUUCUGACGCUGAGGCGCGAAAGCGUGGGGAGCAAACAGGAUUAGAUACCCCAGUAGUCC